CAGCUCUCCUUCUUAUUCGUUCCUCUUAAUUAUUAUUAUUUCUUGUGAAUACUGGUGAAAGAUAAAACAAGUUAAAACUAAGGAUUUACUUUAUUUGAUAAUUCUCAAAAUUUAUAAAAAAGUUUCCGGCUCAUCUGAAAACUUUUUUUAAAGGAGGGUGUAUCAACGCGCUAUCAGUCAAUAUUUGUUCACAAGUUCAUAUUAGCUUUUCAAAGAACUAAUUUUCUUCCAAGUUAAACUUAGAAGAUGCAGUUGCUUCAAUAGCUGCAACUGCUCCUUAUGGAAGUGGAACACAAUUUGACCCUCAGAACCCAAUUUGGUCUACUCCACAAUUCUGGAGGUGUUCAGCAACUUCCUCGACUUCAUACAUUUUUCAUGAUAUCUUUUUGAACAUCCAUUAUUAAAAUUUAACUUUUUUCGGUUAUCAUUCAAUGUUUGUUAAUUUUGUUCUAAUUUACAAAUUCGUUUUGGUUUGACAGCUAAUUUCGAUAAAUUUUCGAUAAAAAAUAGUAAGUGCAACGAUUUGUUCGUAAUUCACAAGUAAGUCAAGCCGAAUUGAAUAUAGAAGGUGGCGUCUUCCCACAACAGUUACUUUAUUUUUCGCGACUUUGACAAAUCUGACGUCAGGCUUCUUUCCAAUAUGAAACAAACUAAUAAAAGGAUGAAAAAUUGCAUGUUUGUGGAAAUUCAGUGAAUGGCUUGAUUUAGCAAACUUUUUUUUUUAACUGACGUGAUUUUUGCUCAAAAAUGCUCAUUUUAUUUAUAAAAAAAUUCUAUAUAUGCAAAUCGGUCUAGUUUACGGUACUUAAUAUUUUUCGAAUUAUUUCUCUUAUAAUUCCAAUGGAAUGGGUGGAAACCGUACCUACUUUUUUAUGGAAAGUAAUGCAUGCUAAUGUACAGAUAUAAGAAGCAUGGAUAUAACGAAAUCAAAGCUGCAAUGUAUUCUGCUUCCUAUUGUCUUGUACUAAACAUUAAUACUUACCAGAUGCGGAAAACAGGCUUUGUGGAAGCACAUACAGACGGCGACGACGAGCUCGAUCAAACACCCAAAGGUGGUGUAAAUAUCAAAUAUACAUGUAUGUAGAUACUCGUAUAUUUAAUCUAUAAAUAAGACUCAAAAUGUCGUAUGAUGCCUUUAAUAAAAUGUAUACUUGAAAAAUAAGUGAUAACAAAAUAAAUAACAAAAACCAAUAA